rnacentral:rRNA from 1 species
CCUACGGGAGGCAGCAGUGGGGAAUAUUGCACAAUGGGGGAAACCCUGAUGCAGCAACGCCGCGUGAAGGAAGACGGUUGUCGGAUUGUAAACUUCUGUUCGUAGGGAAGAAGAAUGACGGUAGCGAAGGAGCAAGCCACGGCUAACUACGUGCCAGCAGCCGCGGUAAUACGUAGGUGGCAAGCGUUGUCCGGAAUUACUGGGUGUAACGGGAGCGCAGGCGGGAAGCAAAGUCAGCGGUGAAAACUACGGGCUUAACUUGUAGACUGCAGUUGAAACUGGUUUUCUUGAGUGAAGUAGAGGUUGGCGGAAUUCCGAGUGUAGCGGUGAAAUGCGUAGAUAUUCGGAGGAACACCGGUGUCGAAGGCGGCCAACUGGGCUUUACCUGACGCUGAGGCUCGACAGUGUGGGGAGCAAACAGGAUUAGAUACCCCAGUAGUC